rnacentral:rRNA from 1 species
GAUGAACGCUGGCGGCGUGCUUAACACAUGCAAGUCGAACGGUGAAACGCCGUCCUUUCUGGUCUGUGUGGAUGGGCGGCGGAGUGAUGACUAAGACGUUAGCAACCUGCCCCGUCUUUCUGGAUAACCGCAUGACAGUGUUGCUAAUACUGGAUAUUCUGAAUCUGUCGCAUCAUGGGUCUGGGAAAGAUAUUGUUUCGGUAGGUGAUGGGCUCGCGUCCUAUUAGCUUGUUGGUGGGGUGACGGCCUACCAAGGCGGCGAUGAGUAGCCGACCUGAGAGGAGGAUCGGCCACCAUGGAACUGAGGCACGGUCCAGACGCCUACGGGAGGCAGCAGCAGGGAAUAUUAGUGCAUGGGCGGAAGCAGGAUGGAGCAACGCCGCGUGGGUGAGGAAGGUCUUCGGCUCGUAGAGCACUUCUAUUGGGGAAGAAGAAGUGUUGCAUUAUCUGUGGGUGUGUUGACGGUACCUAGAGAAGAAGCCCCGGCUAACUACGUG